CUCCUCUCCCUAUGCUGGCCCAUUCAGGGGAAAUGCACUAGUACUGGUGGAUUAGUGGGGAUGGUGUUCUUGAGGAAGGGGGAGAAUGGGAGCUCCUGCAUGGUGGGGGAUCUCAUUGAAGACCUUGUUUCUGAAAUCUUGGAGGCUCCUUUCCCCUAGUCCACAAUCUCACUUCGCACAUCAUCAGGACACUGGAGAACUCUAUCAUGAGAGAGAAUUCAUCCCUGUUUUGAAUCAUCUUUACAUGCCUCAGGGACCAGUUUGAGAGUCUGUGUGCAACCCUAGAAGCCACAUGCUGGAGAUGGUGGAGCCACGAUGGAAAGAGCUUGGUUCCCAGCCUCACCAUUGUGAGAGAUAAACUUUCCUUAUGUGAAACCCCUGGGAUGUGAGGGUUUAUCUGUUACAAC